CCUACGGGAGGCAGCAGUGAGGAAUAUUGGUCAAUGGGCGCGAGCCUGAACCAGCCAAGUCGCGUGAGGGAGGACGGCCCUACGGGUUGUAAACCUCUUUUGCCGGGGAGCAACGGGCGUCGCGUGUGGCGCCACCGAGAGUACCCGGAGAAAAAGCAUCGGCUAACUCCGUGCCAGCAGCCGCGGUAAUACGGAGGAUGCGAGCGUAAUCCGGAUUGAUUGGGUUUAAAGGGUGCGUAGGCGGACGGUUAAGUCAGUGGGAAAUUGAAGGGGCUAAACCCCUUCCCGCCAUUGAUACUGGCGCUCUUGAGUGGAAGAGAAGUAUGCAGAAUGCGUGGUGUAGCGGUGAAAUGCAUAGAGAUCACGCAGAACCCCGAUUGCGAAGGCAGCAUGCCGGCUUCCGACUGACGCUGAAGCACGAAAGCGUGGGGAUCGAACAGGAUUAGAUACCCGAGUAGUC
rnacentral:rRNA from 1 species